rfam:Populus trichocarpa scaffold_7_contig_67, whole genome shotgun sequence.
UCUAGAACUCGAGAUAUGGGCUGAACACUGAACAGUGUCUGGGCUGCAGGACAGAUUCAGACUUCUGUUUUGAUGCUAAUAUUUGGAUUUCCAAACAAUAGAAUUGAGUCUUGAACUCUUCUAAAUGUUUUAGGCCUAUGUCUUAGCUUUCUAGC